rnacentral:rRNA from 1 species
GAUGAACGCUGGCGGCGUGCCUAAUACAUGCAAGUCGAGCGAACGGACGAGAAGCUUGCUUCUCUGAUGUUAGCGGCGGACGGGUGAGUAACACGUGGAUAACCUACCUAUAAGACUGGGAUAACUUCGGGAAACCGGAGCUAAUACCGGAUAAUAUUUUGAACCGCAUGGUUCAAAGGUGAAAGACGGUCUUGCUGUCACUUAUAGAUGGAUCCGCGCUGCAUUGGCUAGUUGGUAAGGUAACGGCUUACCAAGGCAACGAUGCAUAGCCGACCUGAGAGGGUGAUCGGCCACACUGGAACUGAGACACGGUCCAGACUCCUACGGGAGGCAGCAGUAGGGAAUCUUCCGCAAUGGGCGAAAGCCUGACGGAGCAACGCCGCGUGAGUGAUGAAGGUCUUCGGAUCGUAAAACUCUGUUAUUAGGGAAGAACAUAUGUGUAAGUAACUGUGCACAUCUUGACGGUACCUAAUCAGAAAGCCACGGCUAACUACGUG